rnacentral:rRNA from 1 species
CCUACGGGAGGCAGCAGUGAGGAAUAUUGGUCAAUGGGCGCGAGUCUGAACCAGCCAAGUAGCGUGAAGGAUGACUGCCCUACGGGUUGUAAACUUCUUUUAUAAAGGAAUAAAGUGAGGCACGUGUGCCUUUUUGCAUGUACUUUAUGAAUAAGGAUCGGCUAACUCCGUGCCAGCAGCCGCGGUAAUACGGAGGAUCCGAGCGUUAUCCGGAUUUAUUGGGUUUAAAGGGAGCGUAGAUGGGUUGUUAAGUCAGUUGUGAAAGUUUGCGGCUCAACCGUAAAAUUGCAAUUGAUACUGGCAGCCUUGAGUACAGUUGAGGUAGGCGGAAUGCGUGGUGUAGCGGUGAAAUGCUUAGAUAUCACGAAGAACUCCGAUUGCGAAGGCAGCUUACUAAACUGCCACUGACAUUGAUGCUCGAAAGUGUGGGUAUCAAACAGGAUUAGAUACCCCGGUAGUC